CCUACGGGCGGCAGCAGUGAGGAAUAUUGGUCAAUGGGCGAGAGCCUGAACCAGCCAAGUCGCGUGAAGGAUGAAGGAUCUAUGGUUUGUAAACUUCUUUUAUAUGGGAAUAAAGUGAGGAACGUGUUCCUUUUUGUAUGUACCAUAUGAAUAAGCAUCGGCUAACUCCGUGCCAGCAGCCGCGGUAAUACGGAGGAUGCGAGCGUUAUCCGGAUUUAUUGGGUUUAAAGGGUGCGUAGGUGGUUGAUUAAGUCAGUGGUGAAAGUUUGUGGCUCAACCAUAAAAUUGCCGUUGAAACUGAGGGUCUUGAGUGGGCGAGAGGUAGGCGGAAUGCGUGGUGUAGCGGUGAAAUGCAUAGAUAUCACGCAGAACUCCGAUUGCGAAGGCAGCAUACCGGAGCGCAACUGACGCUGAAGCACGAAAGCGUGGGUAUCGAACAGGAUUAGAUACCCCAGUAGUC
rnacentral:rRNA from 1 species